CCCUUAGAUGUUCUGGGCUGCACGCGCGCUACACUGAAGCUAUCAACACGUUUUCCCUCCCUGAGAAGGGCGGGUAACCUUUUGAAUCAGCUUCGUGGUAGGGAUCGGGGCUUGCAAUUGUUCCCCGUGAACCCGGAAUUCCUAGUAGACGCGAGUCAUAAGCUCGCAUCGAUUAAGUCCCUGCCCUUUGUACACACCGCCCGUCGCUACUACCGAUUGAACGUUUUAGUGAGGCAUUUGGACCGACGCAUCUCAGUUUAACCGCUGGUUUGUGUUGGAAAGACUUCCAAACUUGAGCGUUUAGAGGAAGUAAAAGUCGUAACA
rnacentral:rRNA from 1 species